rnacentral:tRNA from 1 species
GCUUUAGCGCAAUGGAUAGUGUGUUGAACUUCUAAUUCAAAGGUUGUGGGUUCGAAUCCCACCUGGAAUG